GCGGUGAGUUUGCUUCAGGAUUUAGUAUACAUAUAUAUAUAUAUAUAUUGCACUUUUAUUAAUACUGAGCAAAGUCGGGGUGACGUUGAUCAUAUAUUUGAAAGAAGCAGCCAAUCACUGAUACAAAACUGCUCACGACAUUGGAUGUCGGUAUCAGAGUUUUGGCGCGGCCGUACACACUAGGAGUGAUCAUCAGUGGAAUGAGGAAAGGAUGGCAAGCUGCACGCACGUCUUCCAGAUUUCUGGGAUUAAGAUCCGGGAUAAGAAGAGAGUUUUGGUCAAGAUAAUCCACCAGCUGGGUGGAAAAUACAUUGGCAGCUCAGUCUAUCAGCAUGCCUCCACCCAUCUCAUAAUCCCUCAGGUUUUGUCCAGC
rnacentral:lncRNA from 1 species